rnacentral:lncRNA from 1 species
GGCAGCAGGCCAAGACAGUGAGAGCACUGGCCUAACCAAGCACCCAGUCUUCUCUCCCAGGAGCCUGUGUAAGUGCGAGCAUGUGUGACUCAGUACCAGAGGAUGAGUUCACACCCCCGAGUUCUGAGAAAGCCCCCAGACAUGGAGGAGAAAGACCACAGCACAGGGUCAAGCAUAUAUACAUAGUCAGCAUUGGGGAUUUAUGACAUUUAUAUUCAGGGUUAUGCUGUUGAGAGGAUUCCCUUGUAGCUCAGUUUAAAUGCUGCUUAAAUGACUGACUGUUAGAAACAGCAUGUUAGCAAUGAAAGGAACUCUAAGUUUACUGUAUAAAACGUAUAUGUUCAAAUGAGACAGCAAAUCAAGAAAAAUAUCCAGGUGUGAGAGUUUGCAUU